UUAGUCGGCCCCUAAGGCGAGGGCGAAAGCCGUAGUCGAUGGGAAGCAGGUUAAUAUUCCUGCACCAGCUGGUAGUGACGGAUGAAGUAAAUUGUAAGUUCUUACUGGAUUGAGCUUGCAGUGAAUUUGUCCCUGGAAAUAGCUCCAGCAUUAGACCGUACCAAAACCGACACAGGUAGGAGGGUAGAGAAUACCAAGGCGCUUGAGAGAACUAUGUUGAAGGAACUCGGCAAAUUACACUUGUAACUUCGGGAUAAAAGUGACCUGCUAUUGGGCAACCAGUAGGAGGUGGCACAGAAGAGGGGGUAGCGACUGUUUACUAAAAACAUAGCACUAUGCAAAGUCGAAAGACGACGUAUAUGGUGUGACGCCUGCCCGGUGCCGGAAGGUUAAUAGGAGGGGUGCAAGCCCUGAAUUGAAGCCCCGGUGAACGGCGGCCGUAACUAUAACGGUCCUAAGGUAGCGAAAUUCCUUGUCGGGUAAGUUCCGACCUGCACGAAUGGCGUAACGAUUUCCCCACUGUCUCCAACAUAGACUCAGUGAAAUUGAAUUCUCGGUUAAGAUGCCGAGUAACCGUGGUUAGACGGAAAGACCCCGUGCACCUUUACUGCAGCUUUGUAUUGGUAUUAGGGAACAGAUGUGUAGCAUAGGUGGGAGACUUUGAAGGAGUGGCGCUAGCCAUUCUGGAGUCACUAGUGAAAUACCACUCUUCUGUUCCUUGAUGCCUAACCAUACACCGUCAUCCGGUGUUGGGACCAUGCAUGGUGGGCAGUUUGACUGGGGCGGUCGCCUCCCAAAGAGUAACGGAGGCGCGCGAUGGUAGGCUCAGAACGCUUGGAAACCGUUCGUCGAGUGCAAUGGCAUAAGCCUGCCUGACUGCGAGACCCACAAGUCGAGCAGAGACGAAAGUCGGUCAUAGUGAUCCGGUGGCACUUCGUGGAAGGGCCAUCGCUCAACGGAUAAAAGGUACGCCGGGGAU
rnacentral:rRNA from 1 species